rnacentral:rRNA from 1 species
AUUGAACGCUGGCGGCAGGCUUAACACAUGCAAGUCGAGCGAGAGGCGGACGGGUGAGUAAUGUCUGGGAAACUGCCUGAUGGAGGGGGAUAACUACUGGAAACGGUAGCUAAUAACGCAUACCAUCAGAAGUGCCCAGAUGGGAUUAGCUAGUGGGUGGGGUAAUGGCUCACCUAGGCGACGAUCCCUAGCUGGUCGGAGAGGAUGACCAGCCACACUGGGUCUGAGACACGGCCCAGACUCCUACGGGAGGCAGCAGUGGGGAAUAUUGCACAAUGGGCGAAAGCCUGAUCCAGCCAUGCCGCGUGUGUGAAGAAGGCCUUCGGGUUGUAAAGCACUUCUAGCGAUGAGGCUGUACUCGCAGAAGAAGCACCGGCUAACUCCGUGCCAGCAGCCGCGGUAAUAC